UAGGGAAUCUUCCACAAUGGACGCAAGUCUGAUGGAGCAACGCCGCGUGAGUGAAGAAGGCUUUCGGGUCGUAAAACUCUGUUGUUGGAGAAGAAUGGUCGGCAGAGUAACUGUUGUCGGCGUGACGGUAUCCAACCAGAAAGCCACGGCUAACUACGUGCCAGCAGCCGCGGUAAUACGUAGGUGGCAAGCGUUAUCCGGAUUUAUUGGGCGUAAAGCGAGCGCAGGCGGUUUUUUAAGUCUGAUGUGAAAGCCCUCGGCUUAACCGAGGAAGCGCAUCGGAAACUGGGAAACUUGAGUGCAGAAGAGGACAGUGGAACUCCAUGUGUAGCGGUGAAAUGCGUAGAUAUAUGGAAGAACACCAGUGGCGAAGGCGGCUGUCUGGUCUGUAACUGACGCUGAGGCUCGAAAGCAUGGGUAGCGAACAGGAUUAGAUACCCUGGUAGUCCAUGCCGUAAACGAUGAAUGCUAGGUGUUGGCAGGGUUUUCCG
rnacentral:rRNA from 1 species